CAGGAGCGUCGAGGAGGGCAGCGCAAAUCCAACGAGGGGUGCGGUGCGGCGCGCGGUGCGGAUCCCGCCAUGAGGGGAGCGGCGAGGCGAGCUCGCAUGGAUCUGGCCAUGAGGGCAGCAGCGCGGCCAGGCCAAGGGGCGCGGCACGGAUCCUCCGCCGACGUCGCCAAACCCUAGCCAAGAGGCUACGCUGUAGCGAACUCCGAUGGCGUCGUCCGUGCUGCGCCAUCGUCGAGGCCCUAGCCAAGAGGAUUUGGUGCCCUCCGCCGCCGUCGAGGCACUACGACUCUGACAGCGUCGUCCGUGCUGCGCCUCGGCUUCCUCACCUCGCGAAGAUGGCUCCUGGUCGGAAAUCGACGACCCAGCCCUCAACUCGACGUGAACCAGCAGAGUCAAUUCACCAUUGAUAUGGAUGCUGAUCUAGUGAAAAAGUCAUAUUUUGAUCUUCUCAAAAAAGGACAAAGGUAGAUGAGAUAUAGGCUGAAGAAGCAAUACUUUGAUGGCUUACCCGCAAACCAAGUUAGAACAACUUCACCGCUGAGCACUAUGACUGACUUGGAGUGGAAACAGCUCGUGGACAAGUGGUCUACCCCAAAGCACAAGCAGGACAUUUCUGUGUUGCUAGCCAUCGUGCUGCUACUGCUGUCCUGUUGUUGGCACUCUCGUGUUGGUGCGUUGCUGCUCCGCUGCUGCUGGUCAUGUGAUGUGCUGGAUGUAGCUGAUGUUCUGAAGACAGAUUCUUGAUGUAGCCCAUGUUCUGCAGACAUUUGAGAUUCUAGAUGUGUAGCCUAUGUUCUGUAGUCAUUUGUGCUUUUGGUGUUGUAUUGCAGUUUGAAACCUAUAUCAAAUGCCUACGAUAUUUUAAUUAAUUGUGGAGAUUGCUUAUUUGAUUCUAGUUGUGUGGGCUGAAUAUAUUUGUGGGUUGGAUGUUGUAUGGGCCAA